AGGCCGCGAAAUGACAACAAGGGGAAUGAAUCUCUGGCCGGCCCGGGAAAAGAGAAGACAGGGGAGCUGGUAAGGGAAGGCAGCAGUGGUAGUGAUAGGAGGAGCAGCGGCGCUUAGGCGAGGGAGAGGGAGGUGAAGAACGGAGUCCAUGGUGGUUGUAGUGGGAGAAAGGCGAGAAUAGAGAAUGGUGACAGAGAUGUUUUGGAGAUGGAGAUAAAAGUGCAAGUGAAUGGGCCCA
rnacentral:misc_RNA from 1 species